AAUUAAGCUACUAAGGGCGUACGGUGGAUGCCUUGGCGCCAAGGGCCGAUGAAGGGCGUGGUACACUGCGAUAAGCCUCGGGGAGCCGUGUGCAGGCGUUAUAUCCGGGGAUGCCCGAAUGGGGAAACCCGCCUGGGGGAAUGCCCAGGCACCGCUGGCUGAACACAUAGGCCAGACGGGGGGCACGCGGGGAACUGAAACAUCUUAGUACCCGCAGGAAGAGAAAUCAAAAGAGAUUCCCUAAGUAGUGGCGAGCGAACGGGGAAGAGCCCAAACUCAUCUCGUGCUAAAGGCUGCAGCCGUUGCGAGAUGGGGGUUGUAAGGCACGGCCGGGGUCACUGCAGGGGCCCCAGGGAGUUACAAAUCUGGCCUCUAGCCGAACUACGCUGGAAAGGUAGGGCAUAGAGGGUGAUACCCCCGUAGGCGAAAGGGGACCAGACUCCCGCCGUUGACCUUGAGUACCACGGGGCACGCUAAUCCUGUGGGAAGCAGGGAGGCCCACCUCCCAAGGCUAAAUACCCUUGGCGACCGAUAGCGGACAAGUACCGUGAGGGAAAGGUGAAAAGAACCCCUGUUCGGGGAGUGAAAUAGAACCUGAAACCGUAUGCCUACAAGC
rnacentral:rRNA from 1 species